UACGAGUGGUCCAAGCGUUGUCCGGUUUAUUGGGCGUAAAGGGUCCGCAGGUGGUUAGACAAGUCUGGCGUUAAAUUCCGGUGCUCAACAUCGGAGCCGCGUUGGAUACUGUUUGACUAGAGGCUGGGAGAGGUCACUGGAAUUACCGGUGUAGUAGUAAAAUGCGUUAAUAUCGGUAAGAACACCAAAGGCGAAGGCAUGUGACUAGAACAGUCCUGACACUCAGGGACGAAAGCGUGGGGAGCGAAUGGG
rnacentral:rRNA from 1 species